GCCCUCACGACCACAUGCCUUUCGCCACCCUCCUGGAUCAGGCCAAAGUCAUCACCUGGAACCCUGCGUGGGACCCUGGACACACGGACAUGGACACAUGCCCCCAGGACCCUCCAACUGUAAAUCCUUCUACAGCCACGGGGACGCUUUGCACAUUUCCUGUGGGACAUGCUGGACCCAAGACUCUGGACCCGGGCCUCCCCUUGAGUAGAGAGACCCAUCUACUGACUGACUGAACUGUGCUGAUCUGGGGGUCAGGCACGUGGCCUUGAUCCCUGUCCAUGGACCCUGAGACUUGGGGGAAAGCUGUUGAGUCUUUGCUGACUCCACAGUUAUGAAAUGGGCUCAGAUUCCCACCUCACAGGGCUGUUGUGAGGCAGCUGCUAUGUGCUUAGAAGCAUGGGGCCUGGUGGCUCAUGGUGCUUUCAAUAAAUGUUUGUCUUAACUAAAG
rnacentral:lncRNA from 1 species